UAAUGAAUUAAGUGCUAAAAGAAUGCAUGAGAUGCUAAGUAUGGACUAUUUUGGAUAAUGACUAUAUGUAUGUUGACAAAUCAUGUGAUGCUAGUGGUAUAUGUGCAUGAUGAUAUAUUAUGAAUUUACAUAUUGUGGAUUAUGUUAAAUAGAAAAACAUACUUGAUGACAUAUUGCCAUGUUGUUGAACAUAGUGGACAAUCUACAUAUAUAUUAGAUCGAGUGGCAUUAAACCUAGCAUCUUGAACCUAGCAAACACUUGUGGUGAUUGAUCAUGUAUAUUCUGGUGUCAUUCAUGUAUGUUAGGACCCUAUUAUUGUGUAAAUGUGAGAGUUGGACUUGAACAUUAGUAAACAAGGGUGACAGUGACGAUAGAGACAUGAUUGGCAUCAAGAAAGUGGUUGUUAAACAUAGUUUAACUAUAUUGACAUUGGUCCAAGUUGACAUAGAGAGUGGCAUGAUUAAAUAGGUAGAGACCUAUCAUGACAUUGGCAUUGUGACGAGUGGCUAUGAAUCCUCAAGUUGAGGAUUGGAUCGAGACUCACGUUACGUCUUGGCUUGAGGGAGGUAGCUCCCCCUCGGGCGGUGCGCUCCGGAGUUGGUCACCACUGGGCGUGGUAAAGUCCCCCCAGAUGACGGUCCCCAGGGAGGUUCGAGUCCCCCGUUAUUAAGGGAUUUUGGUAGUGAGUUAUUGGGGUUAACAUGGUUAACCGGUAAGAUUGGGUCAUAGCCAAAUGAGUGUACAACAAGUAUGCAUUAUGAGUUAUGGAUUUGGUAUCCUAGUCGAGAGGAUUUAGGGCUGAGGUGUAUGUGAGACGUCCAUCGCCUCGAGCCUGGUUCUAGUGCGGUACUCCGCAGACGAUUGACUCAAGACCGAGUCGGGUGGUUAGCAUUGUAAAGAUAGAUGAAACUUUAUGAUAAAAACGGUGAUUGACAAGAAUCUAAGAUAGAGGAAACCUUAGAUAUCGAAUGGAUGAGCUAUGGUUAGCAGAAUUGAAAGUAGUGUCAAAUGAACUACUAGUUGGUUGCAUAGUUGCAUUAUUGCAUGAUUUGCAUAUAGCAUUGCAUUAUUGCAUUCGUGAGGCAAAGUUUGGUUUUAUCAGUUGCAUAAUAAAGAUAUAUAUCUAUCUGUUUAUUGAACUAACUUGCAGUUGCCUCCCUUGGACCUAUUGGUCGAGCUCUUCCCUUGGGUGGUCGUACCCACUGGGAACUAUGGAGUUGGUUCUCACCCUACGUGGUUUUGGGGUGUUUACAGGUUCGCACGUGAGCGGCGCGGCAGCGCGAGGAAAGGGCGUAGCUCCGUAGAUAGCGCCCUACCCCAGAGACCAGAGCUAGCAGUACCCCGUCGACAUAGCUUAGGGGUUAAAGAAAUGAAAAGAACACAAUGUAACAUGGUGUAUUAAAGAUAUAAAUAUUGUAAUAAUUUAGAUUGCAUUUGGACGAAAAAGGAAUAGUUGUUGAGGUGUAAAAUGCAUGAAUAUGAAUGAAUGUAAUAAUAUAGGAUGUGUUAUGUUGUUUGAUACCUUCCAUUAUGCAAUCUUGACUGAAAUGUGUUCCUGGUUGGAACUUCGUACAUUGUAUUGAUUGCUAUGCCUUGAACGUACAGGAGAGACUCUGUCCGCAGUACAGGGGAAACCCUGUCCGUUCGGCGAUCUGUUGGCGGCGCCCCG
rnacentral:lncRNA from 1 species